rnacentral:rRNA from 1 species
ACGCUGGCGGCGUGCCUAACACAUGCAAGUCGAGCGAGUGAAUCUCCUUCGGGAGUGAAGCUAGCGGCGGACGGGUGAGUAACACGUGGGCAACCUGCCUCAUAGAGGGGAAUAGCCUUUCGAAAGGAAGAUUAAUACCGCAUAAGAUUGUAGCUUCGCAUGAAGUAGCAAUUAAAGGAGCAAUCCGCUAUGAGAUGGGCCCGCGGCGCAUUAGCUAGUUGGUGAGGUAACGGCUCACCAAGGCGACGAUGCGUAGCCGACCUGAGAGGGUGAUCGGCCACAUUGGGACUGAGACACGGCCCAGACUCCUACGGGAGGCAGCAGUGGGGAAUAUUGCACAAUGGGGGAAACCCUGAUGCAGCAACGCCGCGUGAGUGAUGACGGCCUUCGGGUUGUAAAGCUCUGUCUUCAGGGACGAUAAUGACGGUACCUGAGGAGGAAGCCACGGCUAACUACGUG